AUGUAGGGAGCAAGCGUUAUCCGGAUUUAUUGGGUGUAAAGGGUGCGUAGGCGGGAAGGUAAGAUGAAUGUGAAAUACCGGGGGUAAAUAACGGGGCUGCGUUCAAAACUGUUUUUCUUGAGUACAUCAGAGACGAGCGGAAUUCCCAGUGUAAGGGUAGUAUGCGUAGAUAUUGGGCAGAACACCUGUGGCGCAGGCAGCUUACUGAGCUGCAACUGUCGCUGAACCAGCAAAGUAUGUUGAACAAUCUA
rnacentral:rRNA from 1 species